rnacentral:rRNA from 1 species
GAUGAACGCUGGCGGCGUGCCUAAUACAUGCAAGUCGAGCGAACAGAUGAGGAGCUUGCUCCUCUGACGUUAGCGGCGGACGGGUGAGUAACACGUGGAUAACCUACCUAUAAGACUGGGAUAACUUCGGGAAACCGGAGCUAAUACCGGAUAAUAUAUUGAACCGCAUGGUUCAAUAGUGAAAGACGGUUUUGCUGUCACUUAUAGAUGGAUCCGCGCCGCAUUAGCUAGUUGGUAAGGUAACGGCUUACCAAGGCGACGAUGCGUAGCCGACCUGAGAGGGUGAUCGGCCACACUGGAACUGAGACACGGUCCAGACUCCUACGGGAGGCAGCAGUAGGGAAUCUUCCGCAAUGGGCGAAAGCCUGACGGAGCAGCGCCGCGUGAGUGAUGAAGGUCUUCGGAUCGUAAAACUCUGUUAUUAGGGAAGAACAAAUGUGUAAGUAACUAUGCACGUCUUGACGGUACCUAAUCAGAAAGCCACGGCUAACUACGUG